AUUGAACGCUGGCGGCAUGCUUUACACAUGCAAGUCGAACGGUAACAGGCCGCAAGGUGCUGACGAGUGGCGAACGGGUGAGUAAUGCAUCGGAACGUGCCCAGUCGUGGGGGAUAACUAUCCGAAAGGAUAGCUAAUACCGCAUACGAUCUGCGGAUGAAAGCGGGGGACCUUCGGGCCUCGCGCGAUUGGAGCGGCCGAUGUCAGAUUAGGUAGUUGGUGGGGUAAAGGCUCACCAAGCCAACGAUCUGUAGCUGGUCUGAGAGGACGACCAGCCACACUGGGACUGAGACACAGCCCAGACUCCUACGGGAGGCAGCAGUGGGGAAUUUUGGGCAAUGGGCGCAAGCCUGAUCCAGCAAUGCCGCGUGCAGGAAGAAGGCCUUCGGGUUGUAAACUGCUUUUGUACGGAACGAAACGGCUCUGGUUAAUACCUGGGGCUAAUGACGGUACCGUAAGAAUAAGCACCGGCUAACUACGUGCCAGCAGCCGCCGCAG
rnacentral:rRNA from 1 species